GAACUUUAGGCAGUGUAUAUACUAAAGUCAGAAUAAUACAGAGGAAAUUAGCAGAAUGCUGCACAAGGAUGACAGUAAUUCAUGGAACAUUCCAGGUUUUA
rnacentral:snRNA from 1 species